rnacentral:rRNA from 1 species
CCUACGGGCGGCAGCAGUGAGGAAUAUUGGUCAAUGGACGCUAGCCUGAACCAGCCAAGUAGCGUGAAGGAUGACUGCCCUAUGGGUUGUAAACUUCUUUUAUAUGGGAAUAAAAUGCAGUAUGUAUACUGCUUUGCAUGUACCUUAUGAAUAAGGAUCGGCUAACUCCGUGCCAGCAGCCGCGGUAAUACGGAGGAUCCGAGCGUUAUCCGGAUUUAUUGGGUUUAAAGGGAGCGUAGGCGGGUUGUUAAGUCAGUUGUGAAAGUUUGCGGCUCAACCGUAAAAUUGCAGUUGAUACUGGCAGCCUUGAGUACAGUAGAGGUAGGCGGAAUUCGUGGUGUAGCGGUGAAAUGCUUAGAUAUCACGAAGAACUCCGAUUGCGAAGGCAGCCUGCUGGACUGUAACUGACGCUGAUGCUCGAAAGUGUGGGUAUCAAACAGGAUUAGAUACCCUUGUAGUC